rnacentral:sRNA from 1 species
AUGCAGACCGCGUGCUUGCACGCAGGAAUGCAUCGGCAUUUGACAGGCUGACCGUUAUGAGGAAGAAGGGCGCCAGCCCGGAUUCCGAAUAACGUCAGCGAUUGCGGGAGUGCGCAGCACGGAGCAAUCGAA